UGCAAGNUCGAGCGAUGAUUAAAGAUAGCUUGCUAUUUUUAUGAAGAGCGGCGAACGGGUGAGUAACGCGUGGGAAAUCUGCCGAGUAGCGGGGGACAACGUUUGGAAACGAACGCUAAUACCGCAUAACAAUGAGAAUCGCAUGAUUCUUAUUUGAAAGAAGCAAUUGCUUCACUACUUGAUGAUCCCGCGUUGUAUUAGCUAGUUGGUAGUGUAAAGGACUACCAAGGCGAUGAUACAUAGCCGACCUGAGAGGGUGAUCGGCCAC
rnacentral:rRNA from 1 species